rnacentral:rRNA from 1 species
UACGGAGGGUGCAAGCGUUAUCCGGAUUCACUGGGUUUAAAGGGUGCGUAGGUGGGCUAGUAAGUCCGUGGUGAAAUCCCUGAGCUUAACUUGGGAACUGCCAUUGAUACUAUCAGUCUUGAAUAUCGUGGAGGUAAGCGGAAUAUGUCAUGUAGCGGUGAAAUGCUUAGAUAUGACAUAGAACACCAAUUGCGAAGGCAGCUUGCUACACGGUCAUUGACACUGAGGCACGAAAGCGUGGGGAGCAAACAGG